rnacentral:rRNA from 1 species
UACGGAGGAUCCAAGCGUUAUCCGGAAUCAUUGGGUUUAAAGGGUCCGUAGGCGGCCCUGUAAGUCAGUGGUGAAAUCUCCCGGCUCAACCGGGAAAUGGCCAUUGAUACUGCAGGGCUUGAAUUAUUGGGAAGUAACUAGAAUAUGUAGUGUAGCGGUGAAAUGCUUAGAGAUUACAUGGAAUACCAAUUGCGAAGGCAGGUUACUACCAAUAUAUUGACGCUGAUGGACGAAAGCGUGGGUAGCGAACAGG